ensembl:lncRNA
CCCGGCUCUUAAAGGAGAACGCGGGAGCCCUCAUGGGCGCUCUGCCCUGGCGCUGGGGGGGAGUGGUGUCGCAAAGACCUCAGGAGAGGGGCUCGGAGAGUCCCGUGAGCGCCCUGUAAGGGUCAGUACUGCUGUAGGUGUUUCUUCUCACCUGGUGGCGAUUUCCUUCUGUUGAAAUGGAUCAGGAAGAUGUGGUGGGUUUUAAAAGGAAGCUGGGUCUGGGGCUGAUUGAACCGUUAGCUUGUUCUUGCUAGUGAGAUGUACAAACAGCUUAAACUUGGGCAGAAUUUGUAUUCCUGUGCACAUGAAUAAGUCACUGCUUUAUCUUCAGCAUUCUUAACCUUAUCACUAGGAAACAAGCGCUGGCCUGUAACCCAAUCCUCCUGCAUUUGUGACUUUGUCAACUUCGGUAUAUUGACACAGCCGUUUCCUUCAGCAGACUUUCUUCCUAAUGUAAGAAGGGGUUUUAAUACAAGAGUUUGGAUGGUUUCCUAUUUUAACAGACAGGUGAGCAAGGCCUCAGGAGUUCCUACACCUUACAUCCAGGAAAGGGCUAAGAGAGAAGCACGUUUGCUACAAGAAUCUGCUGGCAUGGCUGCCUCAGCCCAAGGCUCUGAGGAAGCGCACUGCAAUCCCUUAGGGCUGAGCUCUAAAAACUAGGAGUUAGAAGGGUUCCCUUCCCUUGACUGUGUGGUAAAAUUGCAUCUUGCCAUUUUGUGUAUAGGGUGGCCUUACUGUGCCAGUAAAAACCCAAGGCUUGGUUGUACAAGGAGCAGGUAAAAAGAAAAAGGACCUGUGGUAGUAUGGGAAGCCUUGCUGAGGACAAUGAGGUCACUGAGAUAAGGGGAGGCUUUAAUGAGACCUGGAGAUAAGUAGUUUCACAGAGAAUGUUACUGUGAAGAGGGCCAAGUAAAAGGAAUCUGUUUUGAAUGUUACUGGACAGAGAAGUCUUCAUGCUAUUGGAAACUGUUGAAGGCAAAGCAGUUUGGAGAUAGGAAGGAGUUUGGUAAGGAUGGUUGAUUUUUAUUUUAUACCAGCGUAUAAAGCAAGAAGCUUAGAAUUAGAGUGAUUGAACAGAGGAAGAAUAUAGGGUUUAGGUGUUCAUCUAGGCUGGAAGAAUGUUCUGGGCCAGGAAGAAGGGGAAGAACGUGCUUCAGUCAUAAAGAUAAAAUUGGUGUUAUUUUCAGCAUGAGAGGAGCAGGGAGGAAUAAACUGGAUGAGGACUUCCAGCAACAUGAAUUUGAAUUUUAGUUUUCCUAGCAGCCUAAAAUGUGGUUUUUUUUUUUAGUAUCUUUCAUGGGGGUUUCCUUUUCUUCUUUUGGCUGUUUCUUGGGUGAGGUUGCAGGGUUUUAUUUUUUUGAGCUUUGCUUUGAUUUUUGGUGUGAGCUGUUUUUUGUGUAAAUACUUUCUUAUUUUGUUGAACCUGAAUUAUCUAGUUCAGGCAACUUGAUGUGCUAUUCUUUUAAAUCAUAUGGAGGCACUGAGAGCAUAAAGCAGGACCUCUGGUAAAAGACUGUGUUAAAAAGAUCUGAAACACUGUAAGCAGUGGAAGAUGACAGCUUUCAUAUUUUCAUAUUCUCCAGUGGAGAUUGUGAUGAGCUUUCUACAUUUUUAAUAUGUUGAUUUAAAAACUAUUGAAGGGAAUGAAGUAGGGGGUGAGACUUGACUCAGCUUCCUUGAUUAGCACGCCCACUUGGGCAGCAGGCUUAAAUGUCUGACAUGGUAUCAUGGUUGUCGGGACUGAAAGGUUGUAUAAAUCAUAUAAACCCGAUAAGCUCUGAACAGGAGAGUUCUUUCCAUGUUUUCUGCAUUAUCUUUCUCUGCAAAGCAAACUUUCUUUUUACAGGAGGAUCAGAAAGAUGUUCCAUGCUGUUUCUUCUGAAGCUUAUCUCUGUUCUAGUACAUUCUCCAACCGUUUUCCCCUAGGAAGUUUGCACUUGAGAACCUUCAUGACCUUCUUACUAAUUGUUUUUCAAUGAAGCUGAUAGUUUAAAAGCCACUGAUUUUGGUUGUUAUCUCCAUGUAAAUGAAAAUAUCCUACUACCUCCCUUCUGAGUUGACUUUUAAAGGAUUCAUAAAUACGGCAGCCAAAAUGUGUUUGCUUACCUACCUCCUCCUCUCCACCCUCACUAUUGGCCACUGUUCUUUGCACUAUGCGAUACAGGCCAUCUAACUUCAUGAUUAUUGAGACCAAGGAGGUUUACUUGUUCUCUCUUGGUUUCCAUUCAAUACAAUGGAAUGUAUUGUUUCCUCGAUGACCUUCAGAAAACCAAGUGGACUUUGGUCUGGUGGGGAAUACCUUCUGUUCAGGCACCUGUCAGUUUCCAUUGAUCUGACUUGUGCAAAGCUCAGUGCAUGAAACAUGGGGGGAAAAAAUAGUUCUUCCUUCACCUGAAGAACAUUUCUGCCUCUCUUUUCCCUACUUCUUUAAUAGAAAUACCAAGGUUUUGUGGCACAUGUACAAAAGGAUAAACAGAUAUCACCUGGAUGCUUGCUAGUAUUUUCUUCUACUGUCAGUCCAUCGGUUCUUCAUUCAUACAGUUGCUUUUCGAUUGGGAAGCAAAGAAAGGGGCAAAAGGUCUGCCUCACAGCUCUACUACUAUGUUGGUUUGUUGCUCCAACUGGG